AAUAUAAUGAUAAAAAUAAUAAAGAGCAUAAUAAAAAAUAAAAAAUAGGACAGGUCAGAGUUAACCUCUUCACAAGACCAUCACUGCUAAGCAAAUCAUGGCCUUUUUUCAUUUACUAAUGCAUAUAAAAGGUCUAAAAACAUAUUUACACUGUUAUUCAUUUAGUGCACAAUAGUGCUAUGCCUAAAAAACUUGACCAAAUGACUGCACUUGUGUAUCACCUUGGAGAAUCCAGGUUUGAUUUUGAGAUUUGUUUGUGUCUUCGGCUUUUCAGGAUGGCUGUGGCCUGUCCUGUCUACAUGCUAAUUUAUGUUUAUAUACCUAUUAUAAGUAUCAUUUUGCAAAUAAUUUUCAUUUUAAGAUAUAAAGUAAAAACAUGGAAUAUAAUUAAGAAGUGCCAU
rnacentral:lncRNA from 1 species